UUUUGUAGAAUGAACCGGCGAGUUACGAUUUGUUGCAAGGUUAAGCGGAAAAAGCGGAGCCGUAGCGAAAGCGAGUCUGAAUAGGGCGCAUAAGUAACAGGUCGUAGACCCGAAACCAGGUGAUCUACCCAUGUCCAGGAUGAAGGUAAGGUAAUACUUACUGGAGGUCCGAACCCACGCACGUUGAAAAGUGCGGGGAUGAGGUGUGGGUAGCGGAGAAAUUCCAAUCGAACUUGGAGAUAGCUGGUUCUCUCCGAAAUAGCUUUAGGGCUAGCCUCGAGGUAAAGAGUCAUGGAGGUAGAGCACUGUUUGGACUAGGGGCCCUUCUCGGGUUACCGAAUUCAGAUAAACUCCGAAUGCCAUGUACUUAUACUCGGGAGUCAGACUGCGAGUGAUAAGAUCCGUAGUCGAAAGGGAAACAGCCCAGACCACCAGUUAAGGUCCCCAAAUAUAUGUUAAGUGGAAAAGGAUGUGGGGUUGCUUAGACAACCAGGAUGUUGGCUUAGAAGCAGCCACCAUUGAAAGAGUGCGUAAUAGCUCACUGGUCGAGUGACCCCGCGCCGAAAAUGUACCGGGGCUAAACAUAUUACCGAAACUGUGGAUGAACCUCUUUAGAGGUUCGUGGUAGGAGAGCGUUCUAAGGGCGGUGAAGUCAGACCGGAAGGACUGGUGGAGCGCUUAGAAGUGAGAAUGCCGGUAUGAGUAGCGAAAGAAGGGUGAGAAUCCCUUCCACCGAAUAUCUAAGGUUUCCUGAGGAAGGCUCGUCCGCUCAGGGUUAGUCGGGACCUAAGCCGAGGCCGAUAGGCGUAGGCGAUGGACAACAGGUAGAGAUUCCUGUACCAGUGCUAAUUGUUUAACCGAUGGGGUGACACAGAAGGAUAGGGAAUCGCACGAAUGGAAAUGUGCGUCCAAGCAGUGAGUGUGAGAAGUAGGCAAAUCCGCUUCUCGCGAAGCAUGAGCUGUGAUGGGGAAGGAAAUUAAGUACGGAAGUUCCUGAUUUCACGCUGUCAAGAAAAGCCUCUAGGAAGAGUAGUACUGCCCGUACCGCAAACCGACACAGGUAGAUGAGGAGAGAAUCCUAAGGUGAGCGAGAGAACUCUCGUUAAGGAACUCGGCAAAAUGACCCCGUAACUUCGGGAGAAGGGGUGCUCUAUUAGGGUGCAAGCCCGAGAGAGCCGCAGUGAAUAGGCCCAGGCGACUGUUUAGCAAAAACACAGGUCUCUGCAAAACCGUAAGGUGACGUAUAGGGGCUGACGCCUGCCCGGUGCUGGAAGGUUAAGAGGAGUGCUUAGCUUCGGCGAAGGUACGAAUUGAAGCCCCAGUAAACGGCGGCCGUAACUAUAACGGUCCUAAGGUAGCGAAAUUCCUUGUCGGGUAAGUUCCGACCCGCACGAAAGGCGCAACGAUCUGGGCACUGUCUCAACGAGAGACUCGGUGAAAUUAUAGUACCUGUGAAGAUGCAGGUUACCCGCGACAGGACGGAAAGACCCCGUGGAGCUUUACUGCAACCUGAUAUGGAAUGUUUGUACCGCUUGUACAGGAUAGGUAGGAGCCGAAGAGACGUGUGCGCUAGCAUACGAGGAGGCAAUGGUGGGAUACUACCCUGGCUGUAUGACCAUUCUAACCCGCCACGCUUAGCGCGUGGGGAGACAGUGUCAGGUGGGCAGUUUGACUGGGGCGGUCGCCUCCUAAAGAGUAACGGAGGCGCCCAAAGGUUCCCUCAGAAUGGAUGGAAAUCAUUCGCAGAGUGUAAAGGCACAAGGGAGCUUGACUGCGAGACUGACAAGUCGAGCAGGGACGAAAGUCGGGCUUAGUGAUCCGGUGGUUCCGCAUGGAAGGGCCAUCGCUCAACGGAUAAAAGCUACCCCGGGGAUAACAGGCUUAUCUCCCCCAAGAGUCCACAUCGACGGGGAGGUUUGGCACCUCGAUGUCGGCUCGUCGCAUCCUGGGGCUGUAGUCGGUCCCAAGGGUUGGGCUGUUCGCCCAUUAAAGCGGCACGCGAGCUGGGUUCAGAACGUCGUGAGACAGUUCGGUCCCUAUCCGUCGCGGGCGCAGGAAAUUUGAGAGGAGCUGUCCUUAGUACGAGAGGACCGGGAUGGACACACCGCUGGUGUACCAGUUGUUCCGCCAGGAGCAUCGCUGGGUAGCUAUGUGUGGCAGGGAUAAACGCUGAAAGCAUCUAAGCGUGAAGCCCCCCUCAAGAUGAGAUUUCCCAUUUCUUCGGAAAGUAAGAUCCCUGAAAGAUGAUCAGGUAGAUAGGUUUGGAGUGGAAGUGUAGCGAUACAUGGAGCGGACAAAUACUAAUCGAUCGAGGACUUAACCAAAA
rnacentral:rRNA from 1 species